AGGGUAGUAGCUCAGCCUGGUUAGAGCACCGGUCUCCAAAACCGGGUGUCGUGGGUUCGAAUCCCUCCUACCCUGCCA
rnacentral:tRNA from 1 species